AAUUAUUAGCGAAUCGACUAGCGCUCUUUACGUUAUAAAAAAACCUGCCCGAAAGCAGGUUUUUAUUUAUU
rnacentral:sRNA from 1 species